CCUUUUAAUUGGAGGCCUGCAUGAAUGGCUUGACGAGCGCCCUGCUGUCUCUCUUCCCAUGAACUUUUAAAUUAACUUUCGCGUGCAAAGGCGCGAAUGGCUGAGUUAGACGAAAAGACCCUAUGCAUCUUUACUGAGAGAGAAGAAAGUUCUUUAGCUUGGUUUAGCUGGGGCAGCUGAGGAAAAGGCAAAAUUUCCUUAAUAUAAAUCAUACUGGUGGGUUUAGAUCCAGGCUCUUUAGCGGGCUUGACAAGUAGAAAAGUUACGCUAGGGAUAACAGCGUUAUCCUUCUGUGGAGGUCUUAUCUGCAGGAGGGAUUGCGACCUCGAUGUUGAAUUAGGGAUAUACCAGAAAGGCGCAGAAGCUUUUAUUGUGG
rnacentral:rRNA from 1 species